GGGGAAUAUUGGACAAUGGGCGCAAGCCUGAUCCAGCCACGCCGCGUGAGUGAUGAAGGCCUUCGGGUCGUAAAGCUCUGUGGGGAGAGACGAACCGCUGGGGUAACCCUCCAGCAUGACGGUAUCUCCUUAGCAAGCACCGGCUAACUUCGUGCCAGCAGCCGCGGUAAUACGAAGGGUGCAAACGUUGCUCGGAAUUAUUGGGCGUAAAGCGCACGUAGGCGGUUUUUCAAGUCGGAUGUGAAAUCCUUAGGCUCAACCAAAGAAGUGCAUUCGAAACUGAGAGACUUGAGUAUGGAAGGGGGUCGUGGAAUUCCCGGUGUAGAGGUGAAAUUCGUAGAGAUCGGGAGGAACACCAGUGGCGAAGGCGACGACCUGGGCCAAUACUGACGCUGAGGUGCGAAAGCGUGGGGAGCAAAC
rnacentral:rRNA from 1 species